GUUUCUAAUGCCAAAAUAAAAUAUUUUUUCUAAAUGAAAUUAUUUUAUUUGACAAAUUAAAUUUUCUUCAAAAACUUUUUAAAAGAAAACUUGCACAUGUAUAGCAUGCGCAUAUUCUGCAUGGGAUUAAACGAUACAUACAUAUAGAUUUCUGAUCAUCAUUGAUUUGGAAUCAAGACUGAGCUUUGAAAUAAAAGGUGGCGUGUCAUAAUAUCCAAUGUUAUAAUGUCCAUAGACGUUAUGACGCACUAAAUUGAGUCGUAAUGUCCAUGGACGUUAUGACAAUUUCAAAAGUGUUACAAUGUCCAUGAGCAAUGGGACAUAAAGUCCAUGGAUUUCAAAGAGUCCAUUUAUCAAAAAAGGCUUAAUUAAGCGAAGCCGGUGUUCGAAAUACCCCAGAGUUUGAAACCCCUGCGCCCAGCCGAAGGCCUGCUAUCCAGAACACUUUUUAAUAGGAGUCCAAAAUGUAACAAUUACCAAAUUUAGGAGCAAUUCUUUUCGGGGUACAACAUAGUGAAAGUCCUGCAAUACCGUAAAGAGUACGAAAAAGACAUCCAUCUCAAUAUUUAUCCGUAAGAUUCCGUCUACGUAUGAAGAAAACAUUCAUUCCGGUAUUUAAGAUUCCGUCUAGGCAUGAGGUUCGACAUCAAAUAAGGGAUCGUGUAAUAUAUUUAAGUAUAAAUAAAAUAAUAUUUUGCAAAAAUUGUAAUAAAAGAAUAUAAAAUAAAU